GUUUUUAUAGGGGACCUGGGUUCGGUUCUCAGCAUCCACAUGGUGGCUCACAACCACCUGUAUCUCUAGUUCUGGGGGGUCCAAUUCUCUCUUCUAGUCAGCUCAGGCAAAGGCACACAGAAGGUACACACACACACACACACACACACACACACACACACACACACACACACCUUAAAAAAAAUUAGAAAGGGAAUGGGGCUCACCAAACUCAGCUCUUAGGAGAACCAGGGGUUUGUAGAGAGACAAUAGCAGCAGCUUGUACUGUAAACAGUUCUUCUUCCUCCCAUCAAAAUACUAAUCAGAAGAGAUCUGGGCUGUUCAGAGUAAAAUGGCCAUAGACAAACAUGGCAUGUUUCUAAAGAGAAGCUUGGAAGAUACCUGAGGGUCACGCAGGGGUGCUCCUGCUGUUUCUAAACCUCCAUGCCUGAGCAUGUUGUGUCAAAAGGAAGAUAGCUAGGGACACCCAAGUCACCUUUAUGUGUGACAGACAGGAGGUAUGUGACCGAAAACGGUGGAGGCAUAACUUAGACAAGUGUAAGCUGUACCAUGAUCCAUGAGUGCUGCUAUAACCAAAUGUGACAGCCCAGGUUAUUUAAAAAGAACAGAAAGUUAGUUCUCACACUUCUGAGGGCUGGAGAGUCCUAGGUCUACCUCUGGUGUCUGUGGAGGGCUGCUGUCUGCAUCCAAGAUGGUGCUUACAGGACAGUCUCCAGUGGUGAGUAGGAGGCUACUGUCCCGUGUUGUGAGAUAAUCUUUUUGUACACUGCGAAGAUGUGUCUCUGCCAAGGCACCUUCUCAUUGGUUUAAUAAAGAGCCAAAUGGCCAAUAUCUAGGCAGGAGAAGUUAGGCAAGACUUCUGGGCAGAGAUAGGAACUCUGGGAAGAAGAGAGGCAGAGUCUGCCAGCAAGAAGAGGAGAGAGUCAGAAGUACGUAUGGAGAAGAGGUAAGGAGACACGUCACAGAAUGUAGAUCAAUACGAAGGGGUUAAUUUAAGUUAUAAGAGCUAGUUGGGAAUAAGGCUAAGCUAAGACCAAGCUUUCAUAAUUAAUAGCAAAUCUCCCUGUCAUUAUUUUGGAGUUGACAAUCCAAAGAAAGUAUGGCUACUGUCCUGGGCCUCCCUGAAACAUAAAAGCAUUCUGAACAUGCUGCCUUCCUGUCUUCAUUGCCUCCUGAAACACUGGAAACAUGCAGAGGGGUAUCCAAACAAUAGCAAACUAAACACAGCGGCUUAUGCAGAGUCCAUAGGCCCAGACUCCUUCCUUCAGGAAUGGCUAGCCUGGGGACCCAGAGGUGACCUGCAGACUUCUGCUCUCCUUCCUACUACUUCCCAUCAGCACAAGGGGAACCUGGGCAAAAGCAGGUAAAACAGGCCCGUAGAAAAAGAAUGUCUUACUCAAUGAUUUCAACAGAGCUUGUUGACUGCAUUUCCAUUGGCUUUGCUUUGGGCCAUGUGACCAUCCUUAAGCUGUGGUAUGUCAUCAUCCUUAAGCCCUGCAAGAAGACUGUAUAGGACUGGCAGGAUGAGGUACAGAAUGCACCCCAUCUCUCCCACCCCACCCCUGCCAGGCGAAGUCAUAGAAUGUCUACUUCAUUUGACAAACUGUAACGCCUUACUGAAAGCAACCCUUCAUUUGUUGAUUGCUUUCUGGACAUGGCAAGGGACAUGGAUGCAGCUUUCAUAGCUGUGGGUUACAGAACAGAUUCCAUUAACGGCCAAGUCAGUGAGGGGUUUUGUAGGCCCUAAAAAGUGGAAAACAAGUUCUUAAGUUCAUCUCUCCCAAAUGAUCAUCAGGAACCAAAUGGAUGAAGAAUGGUAUUCACACUUACAAACACUCAGAAAUUCCAGCCACCAGGCAGCCCUCCGAUGACAAGCCUGGGAAAGUGCUGGGUCCCUGCUUACUCUGGGCUCGCCUGGAGCUUUUAAUAAUGAAGCAGUUCUGGCUGGCCGGUUCUUCUGGCCAGACUUCAAUGAUGCGUGCUGCAUUCUGUCUCUCAAAUUCCAUUUCAAUUUCCUGUGGAAUUCCUUCUGCCCCUUUCCUUUUAUCUUUUUUUUUUAAUUUUUAAAAUUCCUUCCCCCCACAGCCUAAAUCUACUUCUUGGCUAUUUCUAAGAUCUGUGAGCCACCCAGAGGUGGAUGAGUGUUUCAGACAGACAAACAGACUGGUUUUGACCUCAGUAGCUCUUCUUCACUUGAAUGUGGAAUGAAAUGCAUGGAAAGUCAGAGUUUAGCUCAAGGGCCUGUCCUCUAAAGGAUGGUAGUAGCGAUUAGAUGCUUUGCAACAAGCACACAGCAGAAAACUUUCCAACUCAAAUCAGUUCAGAUGUUACAGAAAUUUAUUGGUUCAUGUAACAUAAAUAUUUAGAGACAUAAGGCCUCAGGCAUGGUUUGAUCAAGCUUCAGCACCAUAUGGAUUCUUUCCACAGGGGCAGGGAUUUUCAUCUUCUUUACAGGAUGUACUACAUACUUGAAAUAGCAUCUAGAAAAAUAUUUUUGAACGAAUACAAUUAUGUCUGCCUAUGGAUUGAUUUGAGCUCAAGCAGCAUAGAGCAGUGUUGAGAUCUGGACAAUGUUGAAUCCUUGGCUGGGAGAUCAGCACAUUUUUUAAGAGCUGACAGCCACCCCUGCACGCUGCAGUGUAGAAUUAAUGAAGACACAAGUAUAAGGAAGCCUCUAAUUGAAUGCAGCAUAGAGCAAGCAGAGUCGAACACACAGCAUUCCCAGCUGAAAUCCCACGUGUUGGCUUCUAACCCUCCUGGACGGCCGGCACAAGAAAAUAUUUCUGGGCUGUGUCUCGGGCAGCCUGUUCUAUCCGCGUGGCCAAAAGAGAACAAGCAUGGCCUGUCUCCUGGAUAGAGGCACUGGGUUAUCUGGAAUCCAAGAUUGCCUUUGGUAAAGCUCUUGUUGGGUUGGCUAAAAGGCAUGGCAUAGGAGAGAAAAGAAAGAACCCCAAGAAACAGAGGUGUUUGGGCAGGAGCCCUCUGCUAUAGUUCAUGUCUGUUACCAGUUCGUGUGUGACAGCUCUGGUUGGCUGGAGGUGGACAGCCCUUCUCCAUCACUCCGGGCAAGCUCCAUCAAUCCCCUGCUUGGUCUUGUACAUCCCUCGAUAUGCAGAUUCCCAUGUGAGGCAGAAUGGGAACACAUCUUCCUUUCAGAAUUCCUGGUUGGUGAUUCAUAGCAUGGUUAUCCAGCUGCUUUGUCUCCUGGGGCCAUCCCUGGGGAUGAUCCCCCCGCCCCCCCGCCCUACCACCAUGUUUGGUCCUUGCUGCUGUGUGACUUUCUGGUGGGGGGUGGGGUGGAAAUUGCUGAGUGGCCUACAACAGAUCUGAACCUGAGAUGACCAAAGGAAUCCUGGGUAUGUGCAUCACUGGGCCCCUUCAGCCAGCUGCUGCUGGAGCUGUUGAGUGCAGGCUGGCUUGACUCGGAUCCCCUGGGGUCAUUUCCACACAUUUCACAUGCCUUGUGUUUCCUGUGUCACCAAACCAUGCUAUUUAGUUGUAAAGGGUCUCCUCUGGCAGGUCAAGGCUGUGGACACCUCCUUUCAAAUCCCAGGUGCUGUGUUGGCUUGUGGAGACCCUGGCAGAUUUGUGCAGUGACCCUGACUCCUCAUGCCCCAUCCUUUUGGUUAAAGGCAUGCAGCUGCAUUGCUGCUUAAUGUGUGGGCAGUGCUCUACCGGCAGGAGGUAGUGGCACGGCUCAGAGAACGGGGCCAUGUGUACAGCCUAGCUCUGCCCUCAGCACCAGAGCUGCAGGGAAGUCCCUGGGUGUCUGCAGAGCAGGUGGCCUCCGUCUGAACACCCAGCUCUGUCAGCUGUUGAGAGCCCUAGUUGGAAGAAGCAUUCCAGGGACAUUCCUUCUGUCUGGAGCAGGGACUUGGCUUGAACCUUGAACCAAAAAAACCAGAACAAGCUGCACCAGUUUGCUCCACCUCAAAACAAAUGCUUUUUUUUUUUCCUUCCUUAAUAGCACUGAGAACAAAACCCAAGUUCUGGGGUUGGCGUGCUUUGUUUUCCCACUGGGGAACAGUUAGGAAACAAGACUAAACUGGUUCUUCUGACUGACUGAGAGGGGAGGAAGAGGGCCUCUGCACGGGCCUUGGGUUUACUCAGUUAGCUCCCAUGCAGGUUGAUACUAGAAGAUAUGGCAAGGUCUGUGGAGAUUGUAUGAGGGUAUCUGCAGGCUGGAGAGGCUGAGGAGGCUGAGGCUCUGACCUGGGCAACCUGUAUGGGGGAAGAAAUGUGUGGAGUUUGAAGCCUCCUGGCAGCCACAGGGAAGGGUGCAGAAGCCCCCAGAGCAAACUGGCCCAGGAAAUACCCUUCUUUUUGAAGAAAAGUAGUUGCUUCUUCUGUGUCACGUGACCCUUUCACCCUGACAUGCACAAUGCUACCUACCUAAGUGAACACCUUCUCACAGUGCCACUCCUGACUGGAGGGGCUUUUACCACUCUGUGUAUUCAUUUCGUUCAUGUCACUUGUUUUUCUGUCUGCUUAGGAGCUGUAUCUGAAUCUACUGAUAUUUUAGCUACUGUCUUUUCCUCAUGGCCUGAAGUCAGCACCCUGCUACCCAGACCGUGGCCUGGCAGGAUUUCUGUCCUGUUGGCACCAGCUGACCAACAAAUGUUGUCUUCAUCUAAGUUGUUCUGUUUACCAAUAAACUCAGGAGUCAGAUGUUGGGGUGGAAACCUGCUAGAUCAGAGGAGCCAAGAAGCAACCAGCUCACCUUCCUUUUCGGCCAGAGGCGAAGCAAGAAAAGUGUCUCUACUUAUCCCAAACCAAAAAGUCCUCGAAUCUCUAAGUCCCUUCCUCUCAUUCCUGUGUCUCUCUAUCCAUAUUGCUGGGUCCUCCAUACUCUCUAUGGCUCAUUCUUGUCAACUAGUCACUGGCUCUACCCACUGAUCCAAGGUUAAUUUUAUUAACAAUCGGCCUUGGACUUUCACUGUACAGUCGAAUAUCCAAAAACACACUGUGAUUAGAAAUAUCCAAUAGGGGCUGAGGGAUAGCUCAGCAGUAAAGGGCUAGGCUCACAACCUACCAGCCAUGCCCCACCUUCUAAAGGUCCCAUAGUCUUCAAAAUGGUACCGCAAGCCAAGCAAGGUACAUUACUCUCUGAGAGGAUGUUCCCUAGAAAUACUGUCAGAUUCUUCUAGAAGUUUGAGUCUGGAGACUGUGACUGAAUUUGUUUCCUGACCUCCUCACUCCCUCUGGAUUUACCAGGUAACCUGGGAUCUGAACCAGUCCAUCCAACACAUAACUACAGCUGAGGCUGCCAUAGGAACAUAUGUUUGCUUCCUGUCACAUUUAACCAAAGCUUGUCCACAUAAAGUGUUUCCUGGCUCUGUUACCCUGUACAGGUUGCUUAACUUCUCUGAGUCCUAAUACCUCUCUGUAUCAAAUGAAGCUAAUGCUAUCCUUCAGAAAGGUCCAUGGGAAUGAAUGUGCUAUGGUACCUCAACACUCAUGACCUCACUUGGUCCAGGGUCCCUUUCCUUCACGUGAAGAUAGCAACUGCAUGAUGGGUAGGAGGGAGCUAGUGUCACAAGACAUAUUUGGCUGAUUUCAUUCGGGGUUCUAUAAAAAGGUUAAAUUUAGUUCAGAUGUAAAUUUAGCAAAUAGGUGUGAUUUGGGGUCUUAUCCCAUCCCCCUUUCUGUUUAUGGCUUGGUUCAGUCUCUGUUGCCCAAAGCAAUCAUCCACAUAGCACUAAUUAAGACAUCUGUGGAGCUCCCAAAAGUGAAAUUCCAAAACCCAGAUGCCUGCCAAAGCUUACUGGAAUUUAUCACAUUUUUUUUACAUGCUUGGUACCACCCAGUACAGCACUAGCCCUUUAUGGCAGUGGGCAGCCUGAUCAUGGAGUGCUCUGCCAGUGGCAUUCCCAGUGCCAUGCUACUAACUCUGAGCCUUUCCCCAGUUUCUUGGUCCCUAAGGAGGAAAAUAAACCUGAUUUAAUCAUUUUUGCUACGAGGAAAGGGCUUAGGAAAAAUAAAGUUGAGGUAGAUGGAUGCACCUGCCGUGGUCUUAUGAAGGCUGAAAUCUGUCUCUUCAAGUCAGACCCUGGAUCUCGGCUCCUCACUCUGUCUUUGUCUGUUCUGGAGCCACUGUCCUUCCUAACAGUUCUGUAAGAAGCCUCCUCUGUAGCUCAUGUUCUAUACCUUCUUCUCCUCCCACACACUUCCCAGGACAACCUGAUGCAGACUGGGGUAUGAAAGGGAAAGGAGAAAGUGCAUAGUCACAGAUGAAAAGUGAUGGAUGAGAGCAAGUGAGGCAGUGGACACAAAGCACGAGAAAGAUGUCGUAGAGAGAUAUCCACCCUGCCCACACCUGUGGUGCUGACCAUGUCUGUUUGAGCGUGGUCACAGGUUCAGACGUGACGGACGGUGGUUUUAGGUCUGGGGUCGGGGACAAGCUGCUCUCUCUUCCUUCCAGUAGGGUCACAGAGAGCAGCCUGGGUGAAUCCUUGGAGUGGGAACUUGCAUCCAUGCAUCCAUAUCUGGCACCCAACGUGUGGCUCGAACCCACAACCCUGGGAUUAAAAGUCCCAAGCUCUCCCGAUUGAGCUAGCUGGGCUGUUACUAUUUGACCCGUGACACCUCCAGGCUCGAAUCUUUUCAAGACUGAAGCCUGGUUGACAGAGGUAUGUCAGUAGAUGGUUAGCCUAUGAAGGUCAGACCUGCUUCUCUGUUUCACUGGCUUGCUAGCUCUACUUCCUGGUCAGUUGACAUUCUAGCAAGCCUCUGUCACAUGUGUCUGCCGUCCCACCAAGGUGAACAAAAAGCUUUCUGAAACCGUGGGUCCGAAUGCCUAUGUCCUCCCUUCAAUUGUCUCUGUCAGGUAUUUUGUGGCCUUGAUGAGAAAAGUAACUACUCCAUAUUUAGAGGCUUCAGGGGAUUCUGGGAUGUUUUAUAUCAAAUCUUCGUAACAAAAUGAUGUGUGGUGCCUAUGUCAUAAGAAUCAGGUACUUGAGAGGUUGCAGGAUAUGUGUGUUUAUAAGUUUGAAAUAUCUUAUUGAAAAGCUUUAUUUUGAAAUGACUUUGGGAAGAGGAAGAGGUUGAACUUUAAAAAAAAUUGUGUCAUAUCUUUGCUAGCACAGGCAGCUUGCUCUAUGUCAUGGGAAUAUUGAAAUAUACCCUUGAUUUGAGUGGCCGAAUGACUGAGUACACCACUGAGAUAAAAUUUGAAAUCACUCCCCCACCCAUAAGCAAAUUAUACCUUUAACCCAUGGACAUAUUGCAACAAGUGAAACCCAGCUGCCUGCCAGAGCAUUCUGGAAUGUGAAGUGUUAGACCCUGGUCAAAGUUUCAGGACACUUGCACUUCUUUUGGGGUGAUAGUUUUUAUUAAUUCCUUCCAGAUUACUUUUCAAGCUUGUCCCCAGGGGAGAAGAGUAUUUGUGUAGUUGCUGCCCACAUGCCAACUCUCCUUUGUGAUCCAUAACAACGUAAAGCUUGUUGGAUUGUCUCCCAGGUUCUAGAAGGAUGCCAUGUCACGAGUGGCCCUUCACAAUUAGCCUUGUUUGUGGGGACCAUGUAAGUGUUCUCAGACCCUGAUCUCAGGGUCCUCCAUGGAUUUCUGAUGAUGGUCUGUGGGCACCAGGGAGGGGCAGGGUAGUGAGUUCAUGUCCAGUGGCAUAGGGAAGCUCUAAUUCAUAUCCAAGGUGGUCAAGGACUAAGGGAGCACUAUUUAUGGAGCCUUGAACCCCUUCAUUAUGAGACAGUGCCAUUCAGAUGUCUUUUUUGGGUGUGUGUUGAGGUAUGUAAUUAGCCUGCCCUUGGCUUUGAGCUUUCAGAACACGGAGAGGCUCACACACGAGGAUCUCACACAUCUAGCUACACUGUCUGAUUCUGGGAAAAGUGACAGGGUGACCUUAGCUAGUCUUCCCAGACUUGACCCAGACAAAACCAAGGGGUCUGAGUCCGGGUGAAACUCAGAAGCCAGGGAUAGACAUCUUGGAAGGACUUUUUUCAGUCUUCUCUGUGUGGUGAUGUACUACACCAAAUGUUACUGAGUAAAUGGAAGAGCUCUCUGUGGUUAAAGCUGCAAUGGUCAGGACAACAAAACAAAACAGUCAAUUCUGUAUGGCUCAGAGUACAGAAGGGAUAUUCACAAGUUCACACAGAUGCAAAUAAAUGAUCAAUAAAUUAAUACGUGGAAAGAAGAGGCCAAUCUCCUAAAGAGAAAAAUUCCAAGAAUUCGUGUUGAUAACUACUUUAAAAUGGAUGGAAUAUAACUCCUUGUUCCUCAGAUGUAAGUUACAGGCUUAGGUGACUUCAUGGUGGUAUGAAUGUCACAUUGCAUGCUUGUACAAAACCUAGGUGGUCUAGCCUACAACAGACAACAUGUCCAGGCUACAAAGUAUACACCAUUGUAUGGGUAGGUUAUUGACUGAAUGCUAUUGUGUAACAUGUGACAAACCUUUCCACACAUUCUUGAAUGAAUUCACAUAUUUCCUCAGAUGCUUCACACAGGUUCUGGGACAUUAACUUUCAAAACCUUUUUGGUAGCCUCUGUAUGAGGAAGAUCCUGGCCAUGAGUCUUCUUUAGGUUAGGGUCACUUGAAAUGCAUGGUACCCAGGACCACAGGGUACCAUAUAGCUAUGCUGUCUGAAGUGGUGGCCCUAUGAAAACACUGAGAAUUUGGUGCUGACAGCAGAGAAAACACAUCACAUGUUAGAGCCUUAGUGUUAGUCCCUGCUAGUCAUUUUAUGCUGCUAGUGUUGAAUGGAUACUGUUUGAAUAUACUGGGUUAAAUAGAUUGUCAAGCUUAAAUCUUCCUACUUAUUUUUCUUCUUCUUUCUUCUCUUCCUCCUUCUCCUCUCACUUUCUGGGUUUAUUGAGACAGGAUCUCUUGUAGCCUGGGAUGGCCUCAAACUCAUUAUAUAGCUGAGGAUAACGAGUUCCUGAGCCGAAUUGCCUAGUUUAUGUGGUGCUGGACACCAACCCCAGGCUUUGAGGAUGCAAGAGCACAUAUGUCUUUCUAUUACAAAUACAGCUAAGGGGUGGGGUCAUAGUCCAGUAGUAGAAUGAUUCCCCUGUAUGUCUGAAGCCCUAGGUUCAAUUACAAGUACUACAAAAACACAGUAAAUGAUUCGGGAUGCAACGAAAGCAAUCCUGAAAGAUAAUUUUAUAGCUACAUUAAAAUAAUCAGAAAGCUGCCAAAUAAAUAACUUGACAGUGUAAUUUAGAGUCUUGUGAUAAUGUGAGCAAGCCAAACUAAAAGACAAUGAGUGGAAAGAACCAAGGCAGGGCAAGAAUUAAUGAAAUAAAAACAAAAAACAAUACAAAGAGUCAAUGAAACAAAAUAGUUGGUUCUUUGACACAGUAAGCAAAAUUGACAAAACUUUAGUGAAAUGAACCAAAAGAAAGUGAAGACCCAAAUUAAUAAAAUUAGAGGUGAAAAAAUGAGACAUCAAUGAAAUUCAGAAAAUUAUUAGGAUUUCUUUGUAACUAAAACUAGAUGAAGACACAAGAAAUAAAUUACAGAUUUAUAUCUUUGAUGAGAAUAGGUGUAAAUUUUCCCAAUAAAA
ensembl:lncRNA